rnacentral:SRP_RNA from 1 species
GGCAAGGCCGGCGGCAACGGCUUUCCGCGAACCCCGCCAGGCCCGAGAGGGAGCAACGGUAGUGUGAGAGUCGUGUGCCGCCGGCCCUGCCGGU